GCGUCUGAUUAGUUAGUUGGUGGGGUAACGGCCUACCAAGACGACGAUCAGUAGCCGGACUGAGAGGUUGAACGGCCACAUUGGGACUGAGAUACGGCCCAGACUCCUACGGGAGGCAGCAGUCGGGAAUAUUGCGCAACGGAGGAAACUCUGACGCAGUGACGCCGCGUGCAGGAAGAAGGUUUUCGGAUUGUAAACUGCUUUAGACAGGGAAGAGAAAGGACAGUACCUGUAGAAUAAGCUCCGGCUAACUACGUGCCAGCAGCCGCGGUAAUACGUAGGGAGCGAGCGUUAUCCGGAUUUAUUGGGUGUAAAGGGUGCGUAGACGGGAAUACAAGUUAGUUGUGAAAUACCUCGGCUUAACUGAGGAACUGCAACUAAAACUAUAUUUCUUGAGUAC
rnacentral:rRNA from 1 species